UAAGUGCUUCUCUUUGGGCUAGU
rnacentral:miRNA from 1 species